CAGUAGCCGCGGGAAAACGUAGGGUGCAAGCGUUAAUCGGAAUUACUGGGCGUAAAGCGUGCGCAGGCGGUUUUGUAAGUCUGUCGUGAAAUCCCCGGGCUCAACCUGGGAAUGGCGAUGGAGACUGCAAGGCUAGAAUCUGGCAGAGGGGGGUAGAAUUCCACGUGUAGCAGUGAAAUGCGUAGAUAUGUGGAGGAACACCGAUGGCGAAGGCAGCCCCCUGGGCUAAGAUUGACGCUCAUGCACGAAAGCGUGGGGAGCAAACAGGAUUAGAUACCCCCGUAGUCCCUGUCUCUUAUAC
rnacentral:rRNA from 1 species